GAAUUUUGUUUUGAGUGUCAACCUGUGAUGAUGAUUUGACGUUGGAUGCAAACGCUCCAAGAACUGCACCCAGUGCUGAAACGCACAGAACGCCCGAUGAUGCGAACAGACCGUCUUUCACAAGACGCGAGGCAAAGGAAAAACGCGAAGAGACCAAGGAAAACGAUGAAUAUGAAAAUGGGAGAGAACUCAGGUCGCUUUUUCCGCGUAUCUUGUUCUUGAACCUCCAUUGAUUUGUUCUAUAGUCCCCAGAGAAGGAAGAGGAGAUUCCUUGAGGCUUACUCCACAGUUACAGAGAAUUAUCUUUAUGUGAACGUAUACAUAUUUAUUGUUAAGCUAGAUGGGCGUUUUGAUACAUAUUGGCGUUUUGUAGAAAGUGGAUUUAAUUGUUCUUUGUUGUGAUGGUUGGGUUGUUGGGUUCUUUGCUUGGCUUUUGUGUAAUCUUGAGAUUAUGAAUUAUGAAUAGAAUAAACUCUUGUGUCUCAAGCGGGUUUGACUCAUUUUUUCAUUUGAUUUUGUUUCUUUAUCUUUAUUUGGUUAUAAACAACUCGUUCAACUUCACAGCAAUUUGGAUGAAAAUAAUUUGAAUUAGUGAUUAUUUAAGAAAAUGUUGUAGACUUGUAUAGUGCUGGGUUUGCGGGUCAACCCGCCCCGACCCGCCCCGCCCCGCUGCGGGUUGAAUCAUUUUUUUGAUUCAAAAAAUCGACCCGCAUAACUCACAAACAAAAAAAUUUCUACCCGCACCCGCCCCGCAAAAACACGCGGGUAACCCGCUUAACCCGCGGGUAAUAUUAAUUAUAUUAAAAAUAAUUAUUUUAAUUAAAAAUAAUUAUUAUAUAGUUAAAAAAUAUUAUUUUUAAAAAA